UACGUAGGGGGCUAGCGUUGCUCGGAAUCACUGGGCGUAAAGCGCACGUAGGCGGCUUUCUAAGUCAGGGGUGAAAUCCUGGAGCUCAACUCCUGAACUGCCUUUGAUACUGGAGAGCUUGAGUCCGGAAGAGGUGAGUGGAACUCCGAGUGUAGAGGUGAAAUUCGUAGAUAUUCGGAAGAACACCAGUGGCGAAGGCGGCUCACUGGUCCGGUACUGACGCUGAGGUGCGGAAGCGUGGGGAGCAAACAGG
rnacentral:rRNA from 1 species